rnacentral:lncRNA from 1 species
ACUCACUGUCAGACACUGCAGAGUGAGAAACAGAUGAUGGUUCUGUGGCAAACGUCCUUUUGCUGAAUAUUCUACCUACGUGGCAACAAAAACUUUGGCCCCAGCAGUUUCUCACUCUCCAGCUACUCCACUGGCAACUUCCAACAAUUUGUCAAAGUGACCACUUGCAUGCUCUUGCCAGUCUAUGGCUCCAGUUGCUUCUGUUCCAGGAAGAAGCAAAGAAGUCUAAGUUCUUUGGAGUAAGAUGCUCUCAAAUGCCUAGGAACACUGAUCUCCUAACUUGUCUUCCUGCUUUGAGUGUCCCUCUGAGGUUAAAGUUCCUGCCUCAGUCUCCAACAAUGGGACAGGGUCUCACCACGUUUACCAUGUUGCCCAGGCUGGUUUCGAACUCAUGGGCUCAAGCAAUUCACAUGCCUUGGCCUCCCAAAGUGCUGGGAUUAUAGGCAUGAGCCACUGCGCCCAGUCUGAUGGCUUUAUUUUUGAUACAGGGAUGCAAGGUGCCCAGACUGUGCAAAGCAAUGGCAGCUGCAUGGAGUCCAGAGAGAGCACCUGGAGGCCUGGAAGGCUUCCAAAAGAAAGUGAUACUUCCAAACAAAAGGAACAGGAAGUUGUUGUCUUGUCUGUCUGCCGUUCAAGAGGACUGAAUACGUUCCAUUAAAUUCGCCUGCAAACUUUUCCUGAAGAGCCCAGCAAGCAGCGAUGAAAAUUACAGAGUGGCUCCCAGGCACUUUAGUGGGUAAUCAGCUGAAAUUGAGCUGUUUUCCAUAUUCUUUGCUGAUAAUGCAAAAGGAACCUUUAAAACAAACAGCUCCAAGUCACCACACAUCCUACAAGCUGAAAGGGCCCAUGUGGUCCACACAGAUGCUCCAGCCACACACCAAGCCCUGCUGCAGAGUAAUUGGUUCCCACAGCUAUCAGAGGUGAGAGCCAGCCGACUGCCUGUGCCUUCACAAAUGGCCAGGCUGAGCUAGACGGUUUAUGGGUCCAGGGCCAAUCAUCGGGAUAAAUUAGCUGUCAGGAAGUAAAAGCAGCUCUAGGGAAAUGGCUAGGUCUGUCUAAAAUCUCUGAUUUUCUUCACACUAGGCGCAGUUUAUCCUUGAAUGGUGCUUGCUCAUGCUGUCCAGGAGACAAGGACUCUGGGUUAAAGUAUAGGAUUCAGGACUCUAGGUCUAAAUAGACCCAGGUGUUAAAUGCCCAAGAUUAUCGACCAAAGUAGAAAAAAGAUGUAGGGAUUAGAGAUUCAGGAAAAGCUAUUUCCUCUAAGAUUUUCAUGGUUCUGAAUGGAGCAUCUGGGGAGAAAAUUCAUUUGGGGGUUGGGUUGCUAAGAGGCCAAGAGAAGGGAAAAUGGAAAGGACGCUAGCGUGACACAUGGUGGGACAUGCAGGGAGGGGCAAUGGACCCAGGCUUGAUUCAGAUGCCAACUUGCCAUGCCCUGGCUAUGUGUAAGCCAAAAAUGUAUCUGAGACAGGCCUCAAUCAAUUUAUUUUGCAAGGUUAAGGAUCAUGACCCACGGCCUUAGGAGGGCCUGAGAACAUGUGCCCAAAGUGGCUGGGUUACAGCUUGGUUUUGUAUUUUUAGGGAGAUAUAAGACAUCAAUCAAUAUGUGCGAGGUAUACAUUGGAUUGGUCUGGAAAAGUGGGACAACUUGAAGCACGGGCUUACAGGUCAUAGGUGAAUUCAAAGGUUUUCUGAUUGGCAAGUGGCUGAAAAGAGUUAAGUUACUAUCUAAAAGCCUGGAAUCAAUAGAAAGGAGUGUCUGGGUUAAGAUAAGGGGUUGUGGAGAUCAAAGUUCUUAUUAUGUAGAUAAGUCUCACAGAAGGCUGCCCUUAGAAGCAAUAGAUGGCAAAUGUUUCCUAUUCAGACCUUUCAAAGGUCCUAGACUCAGCCAGGCGCAGUGGCUCACGCCUGUAAUCCCUGCACUUUGGGAGACCGAGGUGGGCGGAUCACCUGAGGUCGGGCGUUCGAGACCAGCCUGACCAACAUAGAGAAACCCCUUCUCUACUAAAAAUACAAAAUUAGCCGGGUGUGGUGGCGCAUGCCUGUAAUCCCAACUAGGCAGAGGUUGCAGUGAGCCAAGAUCGCGCCAUUGCACUCCAGCCUGGGCAACAAGAGCGAAACUCUGUCUCAAAAAAAAAAAAAAUAUGCUAGACUCUCAGCUAAUCUCUUCAGGAUCAGAAAAGGACCUUGAAAGAAUGUAAAUUCCCACACCCCCUUCCCACAAGAGACAGCUUUGCAGGGCCAUUUCAAAAUAUGUCAGUAAGAUAUAUUUUGGGGUAAAAUAUUUCCAUUUCCUUCAGGGCCUGCUAUCUGUCAUCUGAUGUUAUACCUGACUCAGGUUGAAAUUGUUACUGUAUUGCUACAAAGAGUCUGUUUUGUCAGUUUUAAGAUCUCUGUUUGAAUGUUAAUGCUGGUUUGUUGCAUCUAAACUCCAAAAGGGAGCGAGUAGAAUGAAGCACGUCUGACCCCUACUUUCCAUAUAGCCUGGACUAGUUUUUUAGGUUUCUUUGGAAUCCCGUUGUCUGAGAAGGGGGCCCAUUCAAUUACUUAGGGGGCUAGGAAUUUUCUUUGUGGUUGACGUUCAUAACCUUAAUGGCGGCUUAAACUCUCUGACCCUUACUUUCUAUGAAAUAAUGUAAAAUCUCACAGGUAAGAUACUGUAGAUGAAGUCACCUAGGACAUAGUAGUUAUUUGAUAAAUUUUCUUUUCCUUCUUUCAUCCCCUGAAAAUGAACCAAACCUCACACCCUUUCCUCUCUUUACUCACAACCCAAACAUAAGAAAUGAAUGUGAAGGUUCAUAAAGAGCACAUAUCACUUUUAGAAAAGAUAAACUCAAUAUUUUUAGUACCACUUAUAAACAAUAAAUUUUUAUUCAAAAUAUUUACUUGCUAUAUAAACAGCUACCAGUUUAAUUUCAAUGGGAAAACCUAUUCUUAGCAUAUGUUUGAUGAGCAAAAUGUGGACAGAAAAAAAAAGUCCUACUGACUAAGUCCUGGAGAAGAUGAACACUCUUGUAUACGUUCAACAAUGGGUGUGUAAGUUAAUUGUAGAGAGCUCUUUUUUAGGGAGCAUUGUAAAUUACCUUGGAUCUGAAAAUUUCACUUCUGGAAACGUAAAUCGUAAUCAUAAAUAUCCACAAGGAUGUAGUUUCCAUAUUAUACAUUAUAUAAGCAAUAUGAAAAUGCUUAUAAAAACUAUUAUGUUUAUAUAAUUAUACAAUACAUGAAUAUAUGUCAUUGUAAAAAAAUUUACGUAACAUGGAAAUAUUACAUAAAAUAUGAAAGUUGCUUUUUACUCUCAUUUUCCUCACCCCACUUUCUCUAAAAGUAACCUCUAAUAAAGUCUGUUUAUACUUACGGAUAUUUUACUAAGCAUUUAAGACAUAUAUGUAUGUAUGUGUUACAUUCUCUGUAAUCCCAAUGCCAUUUAUUAUGUAGUUUACCUUCUGCUCAUGGAUUUGAAGUGCCAUUCAAAAAACAAACAAUUGUUAAUUGAUACAAUGUAUGUUAUGCAGAAUGAGGAACCUCUCCAAUGUCAAUAUGAAAGCUUACUAGGAUAUAUUAUUAUUAUUAUUAUUAUUAUUAUUAUUAUUGAGACAGAGUCUUGCUCUGUUGCCCAGGCUGGAGUGCAGUGGCAUGAUCUAGGCUCACUGCAAGCUCCGCCUCCUGGGUUCACGCCAUUCUCCUGCCUCAGCCUCCCGAGUAGAUGGGACUAGAGGCACCCGCCACCACGCCAAGGUAAUUUUUUGUAUUUUUAGUAGAGACAGGGUUUCACCAUGUUAGCCAGGAUGGUCUUGAUCUCCUGACCUCGUGAUCUGCCUGCCUCGACCUCCCAAAGUGCUGGGAUUACAGGCGUGAGCCACCGUGCCCGGCAAGGAUAUAUUAUUAAGUGGAAAAAAGAGUAAGGUAUGGAAAGACUGCAUAUACUAUUCAUGUAAGAAAGGGAGAAAAUAUGUAUUUGUUUUUGCUUAUAUUUGCAUAAAGAAAUAAAUAAUAAACAAAAUCAUAACAUAAGUGAUUAUCUGAAGGAGAUAUGAAGUGACAGAAUGGAGUGGAUGGGACAGAAAUGGGAAUAAUACUUCCUUGUGGCAGGCAGAAAAAUUACUCCAGGCCCUGGUAUGACUAUUUCCUUAUACCCAGAACCUGUGAAUGUUUGUUAGGCAGUGUGACAAAGAUGGAUUUUUUUAACUUUUGUUUUAGGUUAGGGGGUACAUGUGAAGGUUUGUUACACAGGUAAACUCCUGUCAUGAGGGUUUGUUAUACAGAUUAUUUCAUCAUGCAGGUACUAAGCCCAGUACCCAAUAGUUAUCUUUUCUGUUCCUCCCUAUCCUCUCACCCUCUGCCCUCAAGUAGACCAAUGUCUGCUGUUUCCUUCUUUGUGUUCAUAAGUUCUCAUCACUUAGCUCCCACUUAUAAAUGAGCACAUGCGGUAUUUGGUUUUAUGUUCCUGCAUUAGUUUGCUAAGGAUAAUGGCCUCCAGCUCUAUCCAUGUUCCCACAAAAGACAUGAUCUUAUUCUUUUAUAUGGCUGCAUGGUAUUCCAUGGUGUAUACGUACCACAUGUUCUUUAUCCAAAGUGUCAAUGAUGGACAUUUAGGUUAAUUCCAUGUCUUUGCUAUCGUGAAUAGGGCUGCAGUGAACAUUUGCGUGCAUGUGUCUUUAUGGUAAAAUGAUUUACAUUCCUCUGGGUAUAUACCCAGUAAUGGGAUUGCUGAGUCAAAUGGUAGUUCUGCUUUUUGGCAGUUUCCUCUUUGAGGAAUCUGCAGAUGUAAUUAAGGUUUCUAACCAAAUGACCAUAAGAUGGGGAAAGUAUGCUGGAUUAUCCAGGUGGACCCAAUGUAAGCAUAGUGGCCUUGAGAUAGAAGAGGGAGAGAGACAAAAGGCGAGGGUCAGAGGAAGAGCUGACUAUGGAAGAAAAGCAAGCUCUGAAAGCUGCAAGGUUGCUGGCUUUGAAGAUGGAGGAGGGGCCAAGAGCUAAGGAAUACAGGCAGCCUCCAGCAGCUGAAGGGGGCAAGAAAACAGACUCUCCUUUAGAGACUCCAAAAAGAUAUGCACCCUGCUGAGUAAUCAAUUUCAGUCUUUUGAGAUCAAGGUUGACCCUCUAACCUACAGAACUAUAAAAUAAUAAAUUUGGGUUAUUUAAACCUCCAAGUUUGUGGUAAGUUGUUACAGAGACUGAAUAUAUUCUUUCAGCUUUUAUAUUGUUUCAUUUUUUGAACCAUGUCAAUAUAAAGCCAUUAUAUUAAAUCAAAUUCUCAGUUUCCAGAAAAAUUAAAUGCCACCUUUAUCAUAUACUAAAUGGACAGUCUGUACAUAAGUCUGUUUCCACAGGUCUGUUUAUGGAUUUUUAAAAUUCUAUUCCAUUGAUCCAUUUCCCUAACUUCUGACCAAUAUAACAUUGUUUUAAUUAUUAUUAUCUAUGCAUUUAUUUUUAUAUCAGG